AGUCAACCUGCCCUGGAGACAAGGACAACCCCGGGAAACUGGGAUUAAUCCCUGAUAGGUCAUCUCAUCUGGAAGGAGAGAUGGCUUAAAGGGGUACGCGGGCUUCUUCCGCGAAUCCGCUCCAGGAUGGGACUGCGUCCGAUCAGGCUGUUGGCGGGGUAAUGGCCCACCAAACCUGUAACCGGUACGGGCCUUGAGAGAGGUGGCCCGGAGAUGGACACUGAGAGAAGGGUCCAGGUCCUACGGGGCGCAGCAGGCGCGAAACCUUCGCAAUGCGCGAAAGCGUGACGAGGUUAAUCCGAGUGACUUCCGCUGAGGAGGUCUUUUGUCAGCUGUAAAUAGGCAGGCGAAUAAGGGGAGGGCAAGCCUGGUGUCAGCCGCCGCGGUAAUACCAGCUCCUCGAGUGGUCGGGGCGAUUAUUGGGCCUAAAGCAUCCGUAGCCGGUUCCGUAGGUCCUCUGUUAAAUCCAACCGCUUAACGGUUGACCUGCAGAGGAUACCGCGGGACUAGGAGGCGGGAGAGGCGGACGGUACUCCGCGUGUAGGGGUAAAAUCCUUUGAUCCGCGGAAGACCACCAGUGGCGAAGGCGGUCCGCCAGAACGCGCUCGACGGUGAGGGAUGAAAGCUGGGGGAGCGAACCGGAUUAGAUACCCGGGUAGUCCCAGCCGUAAACGAUGCUAGCUAGAUGAUUCAUUCGCAAGUCGCGAAUGAAGUGUCGCAGGGAAGCCGUUAAGCUAGCCGCCUGGGGAGUACGGUCGCAAGACUGAAACUUAA
rnacentral:rRNA from 1 species